UUAACUGUAGCUCAAAGGUAGAGUGGAAAACUUUUAACUAUCUGGUUAUAGGUUUGAGCCCUAUCAGUUAAG
rnacentral:tRNA from 1 species